rnacentral:rRNA from 1 species
UACGGAGGGUGCAAGCGUUAUCCGGAUUCACUGGGUUUAAAGGGUGCGUAGGUGGGUCUGUAAGUCAGUGGUGAAAUCUCCGGGCUUAACCUGGAAACUGCCAUUGAUACUAUAGCUCUUGAAUUUUCUGGAGGUAAGCGGAAUAUGUCAUGUAGCGGUGAAAUGCUUAGAUAUGACAUAGAACACCAAUUGCGAAGGCAGCUCGCUACACGAAUAUUGACUCUGAGGCACGAAAGCGUGGGGAUCAAACAGG